ACACGAACUGCGCGAACGUUAUUCGGAAUCACUGGGCUUAAAGAGUCCGUAGGCGGCUGAUCAGGUGGGGUGUGAAAUCCCUCGGCUCAACCGAGGAAUUGCGCCUCAAACCGGUCAGCUCGAGGGAGAUAGAGGUGAGCGGAACUGAUGGUGGAGCGGUGAAAUGCGUUGAUAUCAUCAGGAACACCGGUGGCGAAAGCGGCUCACUGGGUCUCUUCUGACGCUGAGGGACGAAAGCUAGGGGAGCAAACGGGAUUAGAAACCCCAGUAGUCC
rnacentral:rRNA from 1 species